rnacentral:rRNA from 1 species
GGGGCAAGUCUGGUGCCAGCAGCCGCGGUAAUUCCAGCUCCAAUAGCGUAUAUUAAAAUUGUUGCAGUUAAAAAGCUCGUAGUUGAAUUUCUGCUGCAUCGCCUUUGCUCCCUUACGAGUUUUGGCAUUGCGGCUUAUUUCGGAUUUGCUUGCAUUUCCGAAUGUUUACUUUGAGAAAAUUAGAGUGCUCAAAGCAGGCUUUUGCCUUGAAUAGUUUAGCAUGGAAUAAUGAAGUAGGACUUUGGUUCUAUUUUGUUGGUUUUAGGUACCAAAGUAAUGGUUAAUAGGAACAGUUGGGGGCAUUCGUAUUUAACUGUCAGAGGUGAAAUUCUUAGAUUUGUUAAAGACGAACUACUGCGAAAGCAUUUGCCAAGGAUGUUUUCAUUAAUCAAGAACGAAAGUUAGGGGAUCGAAGACGAUCAGAUACCGUCGUAGUCCUAACCAUAAACUAUGCCGACUAGAGAUUGGAGGUCGUCAGUUUUUACGACUCCUUCAGCACCUUGAGAG